rnacentral:lncRNA from 10 species
ACUCUUGGAUUUACUGCUCUGUGAGAAGACAGCUAUCGUGUCAUGAGGAAACUCAAGCAGCCCUACCAAAAAAUCCAUGUGGCAAGAAACUGAGGCUGUUUGAUAACACCCAGCAUCAACUUGUCAACCAACUGAGUGAGCCAUCUUGGACGGGGAUCCUCUAGCCCCAGGCCAGCCUUCAAAUAUCCAUAGCCCUGACCAAUGCCUGAAUAUAACUUCUGUACAGACCCUGAUCAAGAACUACCCAGCUAAGUAGCUUCUACAUUCCUGGCCCAUAGAAACUCUGACAUCAAGUCCAUCACCAAAUCCUACCAUUUCUACUUUCUAUGUCAACCAGAAUGUGACUUCACAAUGUCUCCACCGCAACUGUGUUUAUCCAAAUCACCAUUAUCUCUCACCUGGAUUACUCAGUAGCCUCCUAGCUGCUCUUCUGCCUCUGAUCUUGCUCCCUGUGGUCCACUAAGUACACAGUAAUCAGAGUGAUUGAGUAAAACAUAAGCAAUUAAGUAAGGUAAGUCUUCCCUCUUUUCAAAACUCUAAGAUGACACUUCAUUUCAGCAAACUAAAAGCCAGUGCUACAAGGCCCUACAUCAUCUCUACACCAUACCCUCCACCUUGUUAUUCCUCUAACUCAUAUCCUACUAGUCUCCCCAUUGUUCAUUCCACUUGAGUCACUCUGGCCUCCUUAUCAUUUCUCAAACUUCAGGACUUUCACAUUAGCCAUAGAUGCUUUCUUCCCAGGGAGCCACAGGGCUCCCUCCCUUGCUUCCUCAGGUCUUUGCUCCACUGUAACCUUCUCAGGACUCACCUGUCAAAAGGCAAUCCCUCCCCUCUCUGGCAAUACCUAUUCUCCUUUGCUUCAUUUUUUUCUAUAUCCCUUUUCAUAUCUGAGAGAGUAAAUCUUUACUUAUUUGUUUUUUGUUUGUUUACCUCAACUAGAAUGUAAACAUUCUGAGGUCAAAAGGCACCUAUCUGUUUUGUUUACUAUUGUAUAGCCAGCUUUUAAAAUAUGCUUAGCAUAGAGUAGGAACUCAGUACAAACUCACUGAAUGUAUGAAUAUUAAAGAAUUGGAAAUCCAUUAGCAUAAAUAUUUCACUAUGGAUAUUUCAGUAAUUGGCCACUAUACAAGCUGGGACAAAAAAGCUCAAUAUAUUAUUGUUCAUUCACCCUUGAAACAAACACUCUUACAAAAAAACUCAGAAAAAAAACAAAAGAAGGAGAAUAU